GAUGAACGCUAGCUACAGGCUUAACACAUGCAAGUCGAGGGGAAACGAUAUUGGAAGCUUGCUUCUGAUAGGCGUCGACCGGCGCACGGGUGAGUAACGCGUAUCCAACCUGCCCAUCACUUGGGGAUAACCUUGCGAAAGUAAGACUAAUACCCAAUGACGUCUCUAGAAGACAUCUGAAAGAGAUUAAAAGAUUUAUCGGUGAUGGAUGGGGAUGCGUCUGAUUAGCUUGUUGGCGGGGUAACGGCCCACCAAGGCGACGAUCAGUAGGGGUUUUGAGAGGAAGGUCCCCCACAUUGGAACUGAGACACGGUCCAAACUCCUACGGGAGGCAGCAGUGAGGAAUAUUGGGUCAAUGGACGAGAGUCUGACCAGCCAAGUAGCGUGCAGGAUGACGGCCCUAUGGGUU
rnacentral:rRNA from 1 species